rnacentral:rRNA from 1 species
UUAUUGGGCGUAAGCGCGCGCAGGUGGUUUCUUAAGUCUGAUGUGAAAGCCCACGGCUCAACCGUGGAGGGUCAUUGGAAACUGGGAGACUUGAGUGCAGAAGAGGAAAGUGGAAUUCCAUGUGUAGCGGUGAAAUGCGUAGAGAUAUGGAGGAACACCAGUGGCGAAGGCGACUUUCUGGUCUGUAACUGACACUGAGGCGCGAAAGCGUGGGGAGCAAACAGGAUUAGAUACCCUGGUAGUCCACGCCGUAAACGAUGAGUGCUAAGUGUUAGAGGGUUUCCGCCCUUUAGUGCUGAAGUUAACGCAUUAACCACUCCGCCUGGGGAGCACG